rfam:Candidatus Moranbacteria bacterium RIFCSPHIGHO2_01_FTLL_55_24 rifcsphigho2_01_scaffold_53260, whole genome shotgun sequence.
AAGAAGGUUACUUAACGUAUAGUGUGGAUGCCUUGACUGAAGCAAGCGAUGAAGGACGUAGGAGGCUGCGAUAAGCCUCGGGGAGCUGUCAACCAAGCUUUGAUCCGGGGAUUUCCGAAUGGGGCAACCCUCUCUGUUGUUACAGAGAAUCCGUAUCUGAAUACAUAGGGUACGGCAGCGCACCCUGGGAAUUGAAACAUCUUAGUACCAGGAGGAAGAGAAAUCAAAUGAGAUUCCGUCAGUAGUGGCGAGCGAAAGCGGAAUAGCCUAAACCAUCGAUUUAUCGAUGGGGUUGCGGGGCUUUUAGACUCGGUUGACCGGGGCCACGCAACGCUUUUUAGCAGAACAGUCUGGAAAGACUGGCCAAAGGAGGUAAUAGCCCUGUAUGCGAAAAAGAGCGUUGUCUGGUGUAGAAGUACCCAAGUAGGGCGGGGCCGGAGAAACCCCGUUUGAAUCUGGGAGCACUAACUUCCAAGGCUAAAUAUUGCUUCAGAUCGAUAGCGAACUAGUACCGUGAGGGAAAGGUGAAAAGAACCCCGAUAAGGGGAGUGAAAUAGAACUGAAACACUAUACUAACGAAGAGUCGGAGCCUCGGCGCAAGCCGGGGUGACGGCGUGCUUUUUGCAGCACGAUCCAACGAGUUAGUUCUACGCGGCUUUGUCUAAGGGAUGAUGAAUUCCGGAGACCCAGUGAAAGCGAGCCUGAAUAGGGCGACCAAUCGUCGCGUGGACUAGACCCGAAGCCAGACGAGCUACAUAUGAGCAGGGUGAAGCGUCGGUAAAACGACGUGGAGGCCCGCACCCACUAGUCGUGCAACUCUAGGGGAUGACUUGUGUGUAGAGGAGAAAUUCCAAUCGAGUUUGGCAAUAGCUGGUUCUCUCCGAAAUAGCUUGAGGGCUAGCGUCUUGUAAAUUGUAUCUGAGGGGUAGAGCUACUGGAUGAGAAUUCGCGGUUCGCCGUAGGGUUUUCAACCAAACUCCGAAUACUCAUGAUAUGUACCAAGGCAGUCAGUACUCCGGGGCUAAGCUCGGAGCACAAAAGGGAAACAGCCCAGAUCGUCAGCUAAGGUCCCAAAAUCUGUGUUAAGUGGGCAAGGAAGUGAAGAUUCUUAGACACUUAGGAGGUUGGCUUAGAAGCAGCCAUCCUUUAAAGAGUGCGUAAUAGCUCACUAAUCUAGAAUCUUCGCGCCGACAAUGUAACGGGGCUAAAACACAGUACCGAAGCUACGGACUGCAUCGCAAGAUGCAGUGGUAGGAGAGCGUUCUGUACACGCCGAAGCGGAAGGGUGACCGACCGUGGAGAGUACAGAAGUGAGAAUGUUGGAAUGAGUAACCGCAAUGAGGGUGAGAGCCCCUCACAUCGAAAGUCUAAGGUUUCCUGGGCCAUGGUGAUCAUCCCAGGGUU